UAGGAAUUAGUGUAAUGGUAACACAUAAGACUCAUGAUCUUUUAAUGGUAGUUCGAUUCUACUGUUCCUAC